AUACCUUUCUCGGCCUUUUGGCUAAGAUCAAGUGUAGUAUCUGUUCUUAUCAGUUUAAUAUCUGAUACGUGGGCCAUCGGCCCACUUGAUAUUAAUCUUAUUUUUUAUGGGGAAAAGCCCAUCACUUGAUAUUAAUCUUAUUUUUUAUGGGGAAAAGCUAUUGUGGGCUUUAAGUGUCGCCUUGGUCUUGCACUACUGCCUUGGCCUGGCUCACCCCUC
rfam:Helianthus annuus linkage group 3, whole genome shotgun sequence.